UGGGGAAUAUUGCACAAUGGGCGCAAGCCUGAUGCAGCCAUGCCGCGUGUAUGAAGAAGGCCUUCGGGUUGUAAAGUACUUUCAGCGGGGAGGAAGGUGUUGAGGCUAAUAACCUCAGCAAUUGACGUUACCCGCAGAAGAAGCACCGGCUAACUCCGUGCCAGCAGCCGCGGUAAUACGGAGGGUGCAAGCGUUAAUCGGAAUUACUGGGCGUAAAGCGCACGCAGGCGGUCUGUCAAGUCGGAUGUGAAAGCCCCGGGCUCAACCUGGGAACUGCAUUCGAAACUGGUAGGCUAGAGUCUUGUAGAGGGGGGUAGAAUUCCAGGUGUAGCGGUGAAAUGCGUAGAGAUCUGGAGGAAUACCGGUGGCGAAGGCGGCCCCCUGGACAAAGACUGACGCUCAGGUGCGAAAGCGUGGGGAGCAAACA
rnacentral:rRNA from 1 species